rnacentral:lncRNA from 1 species
UGUAAGAUGAUUAUUUCAGAGAUGGUGUUAAUCUCAACAAUAGUCUUUGCCUCAGCCUUUCCAAAGAAUGAUUCCUUAGAUGAUAAUUGGAUAGUGUUAGACAAGUGGCCUCAGAUAUCUUAAGAAGGGGGGGUUGAAUUAAGAUAUUCCAAACUAUUUCCCUUAAUUAAAAAUCUAUUUCACUUUUUAACCAAGUUAUGAAUUCCC